CUAUGUCAUAUGUUUUCUUUGUUUCCUCAAUAUAACUCUGAUUAGAAUGUCAAACAAAGAUAAAAUCAUCCGUAUUAAUCGUCAAUAUCGUGUAUAUUAUUAAUAUGAGCGUCUUUGCGUUAAAUUCGUGCUACACCACACCAUGCACUUAUAUCGACGUCGCAAUGCAAAAGAAGAAGGGCAAGAAAGAAACCUGUCCUGGUCUGGCGAUUUAAGGGAACAUUUGUUUAAGCCUGUCUAGAUCUUUUAUCAGUCUAGAAAGAUGUUGGAGAAAAGACAUCAUCCUCUUCUAUAAUCUCCAUCUGUAAUUGGACUAACAACUGGACCAGUGAAUGCAGGCAACUUACUCUCCAUUCGACCUUGCAGGUCACACCAUGGUCUCAAGAGUGAAAAUGAGUGCUCUAUGGAUUGAACAGAAAAGGUGUAUCAAAACUCCAACCAUCUGUAUGAGGGUCUGGAUGGAUAAAGGAUGCCCACUGGAGCUGGAAAUGAUGGAUCAGGUGGAUCCACACUUGAACCAUCUGUAUGAUGAUCUGCACCCACUGGAUCUGUAAAUGGUGGAGCAGGUUUCUGAAUUGAUGUCAGAUGCAAAGCAGAAGCUUAUUUUCUUCCAGUUUGGCUUCAUUGUGGAAAAAUGCUGGAAACUAAAAUGCAGGUGACAUUCUUUUGUUUAUUGAAGCUAUGACAAAUAAUUUGUCUGUUUAGUUAAUGUU